AGAAAUUCCAAUCGAACCUGGAGAUAGCUGGUUCUCUCCGAAAUAGCUUUAGGGCUAGCCUCAAGUGAUGAUUAUUGGAGGUAGAGCACUGUUUGGACGAGGGGCCCCUCUCGGGUUACCGAAUUCAGACAAACUCCGAAUGCCAAUUAAUUUAACUUGGGAGUCAGAACAUGGGUGAUAAGGUCCGUGUUCGAAAGGGAAACAGCCCAGACCACCAGCUAAGGUCCCAAAAUAUAUGUUAAGUGGAAAAGGAUGUGGCGUUGCCCAGACAACUAGGAUGUUGGCUUAGAAGCAGCCAUCAUUUAAAGAGUGCGUAAUAGCUCACUAGUCGAGUGACACUGCGCCGAAAAUGUACCGGGGCUAAACAUAUUACCGAAGCUGUGGAUUGUCCUUUGGACAAUGGUAGGAGAGCGUUCUAAGGGCGUUGAAGCAUGAUCGUAAGGACAUGUGGAGCGCUUAGAAGUGAGAAUGCCGGUGUGAGUAGCGAAAGACGGGUGAGAAUCCCGUCCACCGAUUGACUAAGGUUUCCAGAGGAAGGCUC
rnacentral:rRNA from 1 species